rnacentral:lncRNA from 1 species
ACACACACACACACACACACACACACACACACACACACACUUUGCAAGCUGGCUGCUAAUAUCAGAGGGAUUUAGUUGGAUGUCUUUGCUGUCUCUCUGUUUACUUCUUGUGAAUUAGUCUCCCUGGCUGGAUCUCCAGAAUGGAGAUGGAUUAGCGGGUCAAAAGAGAUAAUUAUUCUCUUGGCUGCUCCCUGUGAUGCCUCAGGGCAUCAAGAAGAGCUGGAUCUUGUUUACAAGAAGAAGCAGUGUGUUCUAGAAGGAACAGAGCAGGCACAACUCACAGGGAGAAGUUCUCUCCUUUCUCUCUAAUCGGGCCUGACUGUGCGUUUGGGGACACGGUGUCGCCUUUAUGCUCAGGACAAGGGUGGCAGGGACAGGCUGCUGAGUUACCAAGGUCUUUGAUCUAGGACUUUAGGGAUUUCUUUCUUUCCUGUUCAUGAACAGUAUUUUUUUACUAUUGAAAAUUUAGAAAAUGCCAGUGUAUAAAAACAUUGAAAUAUCAAUGUCCAUUUCAAUCCUCUCAGCACUCGCUCACCCAGCUCAGGUAAUUCUUUCCACCACCCUCAUCUCCCAGAUGGGGAAAUCAAGGCACAGAGGAGGUAUGACACUACAAAUGUUUAUACCAGGGUCAGGAAGUCUAGCGUCUUCCGCUAUCGCUUCCCCAGAGCAAGGAAGGGUGACUGGUACAGUCCAUGUCCCCUGAAGGAGCACUGCUGCCCUGCCUACAGAGUGAUGACAGGGGAGCCAGGAAUCUGAUUCAGAGAGCCACUUGCAGAGCCAGGCUGUGCACUGACUGAGCCUGUGUACGAGGCCUCCACAGCUGCCUACCUAGAGAUGGGCCCUGAAAAUUUUGGAGUAUUACUGCAAGGUGUGUGUUUGUCCAUCUGUGGGUGUCUGUGUGUGUAAUAAAGAGUGUCUAGAACAUGCUUUUUGUUUUCUCACAUAUGAAUACACAUGGAUGCAUGUAUAGAUAGGAAUCUCCCUGUAUCCUAAGGGGAUGUCUUUCAACAUGCCGGGGGAUGCCUGCACCGUGGGUAGCUGUCCACAUUGCGGGCACAGACACACAAAUGGAAUAGCUUUUCCAUCUUUUUCAUUAUUUUAAGUUAGCAUGCAAAGUACAGAGUUAUGAUGCUGUGCCCUUUCAUACCUUUGUGUCACUCAUCAGCUCUAACUCCUCCUCCUCACCCACUGCUCUCUCCCUCCUUCCUGCCCCCUCUUGCUCACUCCUUCCUCAGCCCAGAUAGUACCUCAUUCUGUUUUCAUGUCACAUGCAUCCCAUUCCCUCUCUUCUCCCCUGUCCUUUAAGAUCUCGUCCUCCUCCUUCUUCUCCUCCCUAUCUCACACGCAUGCAUGUACGCGUGUACACACACACACACACACAAAGAAAACAGCCAUAGCUUAUUUCGCCUGUUGAUCUCCAGUUGUAUCCAUUUGCCUGUAAAUGUCAUGACUUUGUUUUCCUCUAUAGCUGAAUUAAAUUGUUCCAUCGUAUACAUACACUGUGUCUGUUCAUCUGUUGAUGGACAUCAAGGCCAGUUCCAUUUCCUGGCUCUUGUGAGUAGCGCAGCAGUAAACAUAGAUGUGCAUGUAACUCCAUGGCAUGGCCACAUAGCAUCUUUGGGAUACACCCAGGAGUGAUCUAGCUGUUGUGUAUGGUAGUUCUAUUUUUAGUUUUUUAAGGAACCACCAUGCUGAUUUCUGUAUUGGCCCCACCGGUGUCCACUCCCACCAGUGUGAAUGAGGCUUCCUCAUUCUCCGUAGCCUCACCGGAAUUUGUUGUUUGUUCUCCUGGUGGUAGUCAUUCUAACUGGAUAGAAUCUCACAGUACUUUUAAUUUGCAUUGCCUUGAUGGUUAAGGAAGUAGAGCACAAUAUAAUAAUAAUAGUAGUAAUAAUAAUAAUAAAAUUUGCAUUUCUUGUGAGAAAUUUGCAAAUUAUACAUGUAUAAUUUGCAUUAUCUCUUGAGAAAUGUCUAUUCAGUGCAUUUACCCAGUCAUUCAUUGGAUGGUUGAGAGGGUAGAGUGAUGUUUAAUUCUUUAAGGUUCUUUACAGCUGCUACAUCUUAUGGCACAGGAGCUAGCAAGAUUUUCUCCCAUGCUGUAGGCCGUUUCCUUACGCUGAUUGUUUCCUCUGCUCUGCAGACAUUUUUUAAUUACCCAUAGUCCCAUUUUUCAGUUCACGGGGUCAUUUCCCAAGACACUGGGUUCUUUGUGGGAAGUCUUUGUCUAUGCCUGUGUAGACGUCUUUUGCUUGGGUUUUCUAUCAGCAGCUUCAACUUUUCAGGUCCCACGUUAAGAUCUUUGAUCGUUUGAGUUGAUUGUCACUCACGGUGAGAGAUACAGAUCUAGUUUCAUUCUUUUGCAAGGGGUUGAGUGCUUGGCUUUCCCGGCACCACUUGUUAGAGGCCAUUUUUUUCUCCAGGAAAUGCUUUUCUGCAUCCCUGUUGAAAACCAGGUGACUGUAGCCACAGGUUUAUUUCCUGGUGUCCUACGCUCCCCUAUUGGUCUACAGGUUUGUUUUUGUGUACCUGCCAUCGAUGUCUUUUCUAGCCUAACAACACAUUUAUCACACACAAUGACCACCACUCCUGUCCCUUAAGGUAUAACAACAAAAUGAACAUGAAGGGCUGGAGAAAUGACUCGGCAGUUCAGAGCUGCUCUUUUAGAGGCCUGGGUUCCAUUCCCAGCACCCAUGUGACAGCUCAUAACCAUCUGCAACCCCAGCAAAGGGAAAUCUGAUAACUUCCUGUGGUCUCUGUGGAUACCAGGUACACACAUUGUGCACAGACAGACAUGCAUACAGGCAAAACAUCCACACACAUGGAGUAAAUAAAUAAAUCUCAUUUUUAAACUACCAUGAAUAUUCUUUUUCAUAAUUAAGUAGAAUGUGCAUUCUUACUAUGGCUAUCAGAAUCUCAGUACUCAGGUUUUUCUCUAUUAUUGAAUUCUCUCCCUUUAACUUAAAGGCAGCCCUUCAUGCCUUCACUUCAGCAUGUCUGCGUUGCCAGCCUCACUGUUCUCAUGCCCUGGGGCCAUCAUUAAAUACAAUAAUGCAGUCACAGUACUACUGAGGCAGCCCAACAUCAGGUGACUAGUGGAGGAAUUGCAUCCUUGGUAUGGAGACACUGGACAAGGAGUAGUUUAUGUCUUGUUCAAGACAGAAUGACUCAGCUCAAGGUUUCAUCACAGAACCCAAAAUGGUUUUUAUAUUCCUUUUCAAGUGCUGAUCACAGUACAUGUUUGUGUACAUGCAUGCAGAUGUGCAUAGUGUGUGAUUAUCUUGUUUCUGUCGAGUGUCCCUCUAAUUAAUUCACGUUAAUACCUAGCUGACAUUGUCUUGACUGCUUUUCUGUGUGUGCAAGGGUUCUGUUAUGUGGCUGUAUCAUAGAUUUUGAAGGCUGUGGUUGAGGCAUAUGCUCCAUCUAGGCACAGGAUUAGAAGGAGAAACUCAGGCACAGCUGGAAGAAAAGAAGCAGAAAUGGGUGGGCUGCAGAUAAGACUUGACAGCCUUCAUUGUCCUGUCUUCCUUUCAUGGUCUCUGCUAUUGGCUUUUAGAUCAUAGGAUUUCUAUGCUUAGGAGGGAGAGAGGGGGCAGGGGCAAAAAUAAAAAAUAACCUCAGGGGUCAGUGAAAUAGCUCAACAGGUAAAGGUGUUUGCCAUCAAACUUGACAACCUGAAUUCAAUCCCCAGAACCUACCACAUGGUAGAAGGAGAUACUCAACCCAGAAAAGUGAUCCCUGAUCUCCACACACAUGCCAUGGCUCCCCUAUACAAUUAAUC